UACGGGAGGCAGCAGUGGGGAAUAUUGCACAAUGGGCGCAAGCCUGAUGCAGCCAUGCCGCGUGUAUGAAAAAGGCCUUCGGGUUGUAAAGUACUUUCAGUCGUGAGGAAGGUGUUAAGGUUAAUAACCUUAGCAAUUGACGUUAGCGACAGAAGAAGCACCGGCUAACUCCGUGCCAGCAGCCGCGGUAAUACGGAGGGUGCGAGCGUUAAUCGGAAUUACUGGGCGUAAAGGGCACGCAGGCGGUUAAUUAAGUUGGAUGUGAAAUCCCCGGGCUUAACCUGGGAAUGGCAUUCAAGACUGGUUAGCUAGAGUCUUGUAGAGGGGGUUAGAAUUCCAUGUGUAGCGGUGAAAUGCGUAGAGAUGUGGAGGAAUACCGGUGGCGAAGGCGGCCCCUGGACAAAGACUGACGCUCAUGUGCGAAAGCGUGGGGAGCAAACG
rnacentral:rRNA from 1 species